ACACAUGCAAGUCGAGGGGUAACAGGGGGUGCUUGCACUCCGCUGACGACCGGCGCACGGGUGCGUAACGCGUAUACAAUCUGCCUUAUACUGGGGUAUAGCCUUUAGAAAUGAAGAUUAAUCCCCCAUAGUCUCUAGAUGUGGCAUCACAAUUAGAGUAAAGGUUACGGUAUAAGAUGAGUAUGCGUUCUAUUAGUUUGCUGGUGAGGUAACGGCUCACCAAGACUACGAUAGAUAGGGGCCCUGAGAGGGGGAUCCCCCACACUGGUACUGAGACACGGACCAGACUCCUACGGGAGGCAGCAGUGAGGAAUAUUGGACAAUGGAGGCAACUCUGAUCCAGCCAUGCCGCGUGCAGGAAGACUGCCCUAUGGGUUGUAAACUGCUUUUAUAUAGGAAGAAACCUUGGUACGUGUACCAAGCUGACGGUACUAUAAGAAUAAGGAUCGGCUAACUCCGUGCCAGCAGCCGCGGUAAUACGGAGGAUCCAAGCGUUAUCCGGAAUCAUUGGGUUUAAAGGGUCCGUAGGUGGAUAAUUAAGUCAGAGGUGAAAUCUUGCAGCUCAACUGUAAAAUUGCCUUUGAUACUGGUUAUCUUGAGUUAUUAUGAAGUAGUUAGAAUAUGUAGUGUAGCGGUGAAAUGCAUAGAUAUUACAUAGAAUACCAAUUGCGAAGGCAGAUUACUAAUAAUCAACUGACACUGAUGGACGAAAGCGUGGGUAGCGAACAGGAUUAGAUACCCUGGUAGUCCACGCCGUAAACGAUGGUUACUAGCUGUUUGGACCUUGUGUCUGAGUGGCUAAGCGAAAGUGAUAAGUAACCCACCUGGGGAGUACGUUCGCAAGAAUGAAACUCAAAGGAAUUGACGGGGCCCCGCACAAGCGGUGGAGCAUGUGUUAAAUUCGAUGAUACGCCGAGGAACCUUACCAGGGCUUAAAUGUAAG
rnacentral:rRNA from 1 species